rnacentral:rRNA from 2 species
UACGUAGGGGGCGAGCGUUGUCCGGAAUCACUGGGCGUAAAGGGCGCGUAGGCGGCUGGUUAAGUCUGGUGUCAAAGACCACGGCUCAACCGUGGGGGGGCACUGGAAACUGGCUGGCUUGAGUGCAGGAGAGGGAAGCGGAAUUCCCGGUGUAGCGGUGAAAUGCGUAGAGAUCGGGAGGAACACCAGUGGCGAAGGCGGCUUCCUGGCCUGUAACUGACGCUGAGGCGCGAAAGCGUGGGGAGCGAACAGG